GUAAACCUGUUGUCGUCAUGCUUCCAUGUUGAACUAGUACUGUAUUCUCGAGUGUAAAAUAUGAAUAGAUCUUAGUCUUUCCAGCAUAUCAAUACAUAGUUUGAGCUGAAAGCAACGUGUCAGUUUGAACCCUCAAAAGCCGCUCUGUAUCCGCCUCUAAUUGGGACUAGUCAUGAAAUAGCUAUGUUGUUCGGACUCUUCAAAAAUAUCACUUAGGUGUUUAUCAGAUUCUCCAAAAGUAGUGCAUUUAUGGAGGGUCCGACACAGGUUGCAAUAGCUGUUUUAGAGAGUCCACGCAAGAUAGUCAAACAGUACAAUCAAAGGGCUUUUUAAGAAUACAGCUUCUAACCAUAUGAAAGCAACUUAAUUACCACAUCACAUUUAAAGAGGGCAGUGCAUUUUACUGACUUUGAAUCAUUGAAAGGCUACUAAAUAAUGUAAAAUAAACCAAGUAAUUCAAUAUGAUACUGCCUCGGAUCACUGAAAAAAAAAUACUGCAGUCUGCAAUGCCAGUGCUUUGUUUUUUCUCCACUUACCUUAGCUCCAUUACAAAAGUUCCUCAAAUGCUAUAUGCAAUGUAUUAAAAUCUGGAAUCUUUAAUGUCAGAAGAUAGUUAUGUGCCUAACAUAAAGAUUACCUCUGUACGGCAGUACGCACUAGCAGUACUCUCUGUUCAAGAUGAUAACUUGUUCUACCUUUUAAAUAAGCAACAGAAUAUAAGAAAGCAUUAAAAAAAAGUCAUGCAUAAAACUUUGGUUCAUUCUUACUUUUAUAACACACAAAUUGUGACUGUCAGCACUACUAUGAGCCAAAUUAAUGAGUAAUUAAGUGCUAAUUGAACGAUAUAAACCACAAAUAAAGUUCAUAAUUGUCAUAGGCCUAAAAGUUAUCUCCGUGUGAUUUAUAGGUUACGGGUUCAAGCCGUGGAAGCAACUAGUAAUGCUUACGUUAAGGUAGGUUGUCGACAUCACACCCCUUAGAUUGCGGCUUCCCUAAAGUUGUCUCAGUAGGAGUUAGGACCUAUAGGUCACAGGUUCAAGCCAUGAAAGUAAUCACUAAUGCUUACAUUAGGGUAGGUUGUCGACAUCACAACCCUUGGAUUGCAGAAUUUCCCUAAAGUUGUCUCCAUAGGACCUAUAGGUCAGGCGUUCGAGCAGUGUAAGCAACCACUAAUGCUUACAUUAGGGUAGGAUGUCAACAUCACAACUCUUAGGAUGUGGCCCUUCCCCGAACCCUACAGGAUGCUUUGUGCACCAAGCUACCCUUUAAUUAUCGUAGGCCUAACAAAUUAACCCCGUUUUGUUGAGCGAUCAGCAUCUUCCUCCCUCCUUUUCUUGAUCAUUCAAAGUUUACAGAAACACAAUUCCAAAUUCUAUAUUUUCAUGCCCCCACUUCCCUCUUCUCUCUCUCUAAACAUCCAGAACUUAUUGAAUCUAAUAACAUGACAAUAAUUACAAGUGGGAAAUGGGCAUAGCACUGUGUCCAAGAAGCUUAUCACAUUUCAUCUUUCCUAUCUUAUCUACUCAUUCACUAUUGUGGGGUCUAAAUAAUGAAAACUUCAACAGAUUAUUUAUCUGGCAUCAAAAAAGGAAGAGAGGUAAUGUAGAUUUUUGUGGCUCAAUCUAUACAUGUAUAUAUAUGAUAUGACUCUUAAAUCAUGCAAUGCAUGUUCGUACAUGAUCGUAUCGAGAAGAACCACCAUAAAGAAACAGCAAUGCAGCUAAUGUAGAUUUUUGUGGCUCAACCUAUACAUACAUAUAUAUAUAUAUAUAUAUAUCUUAAAUCAUGCAAUACAUGUUCGUACAUGAUCGUAUCGAGAAGAACUACCAUAAAGAAACAGCAAUGCACAUCAAUCUAGUAAACUUUAUAAUAUCAGUCACAUUUAGUUUGCCUCUCAGCUACACACUGUGUCCUACCAUUUAAUGAUCACAAAAUAUUGGAUCUUCCCAACUCUUAUAUAUACCUGUCUCACUCACAGACAACGCACUGUACUUUCUCCUCUCCCUCCAGUUUUAUUGUAGUGGUCCAAUUCCUGCAUAUUCCAUGCAAACUGAUAUGAAAAUGACAGAGAGUUUCUUUCUCCGGGCAUGCCAAAACAAAUGGCAAAAGAAGGGUGGCAAAGACAUACCUUCAGCAGUUUGCGACAAAUGCUGUAAAUGGACUCUUUGGCCUUUCCUUAAGGAAGAGAAGGCUAUCCCGAGGGAUGUUCCGAAAGGUCAUGUGGUAGUUUAUGUAGGGAAGUACCAAAAGAGGUUUGUAAUCAAAAUCAACUUGCUGAAGCAUCCACUCUUCAAGGCAUUGCUGGAUCAAGCUCAAGAUGCUAAUGAUUUCACUACUGAUUCGAAAUUAUGGAUCCCCUGCGAUGAGAACAUCUUCAUUAGUGUCAUCAGAUGUGCCACAUCACCGGAAAGCCGACGCAUCUCAAUCUGUUUCUGAUGGUGCUAUCACAAAGCUCGUGACCGUAAUUCAUCUGUGAUGCUUAACUCAUUGUUUAGAAUGUUGGCAUCUGUAACCAUGACCUGUUGUAUACUACAUCUAUUGUAUGUAAAUUCAUUGCCUACAAAGUCGAAACGCAUUAGUCUCCAUUGAGUCAACUGAAAAUAAUCUAGACGGGCCGUCACCUUAAGCGCUCAUUCUUCUUUGCUACUGUAGAACUGAUCCUUUCUAGAAAUGUUAUGCAACUCCUGUACAAGGCACAGUACUCAAGAUUGUACAUUCAGUGAAAUGGAAGAAUGGUCAGUAGCAACCCCAAUUCCCACUGACAAGAGGGAUUGCUCUUGGUAAGCAACCCCCACUUCCAACCGAGAGGUUGUGAGUUCGAGUCUCCCCAAGAGCAAGGUGGGAAGUUCUUGGAGGGAAGGAUGCCGGGGGUCUAUUUGGAAACAGCCUCUCUACCCCAGGGUAGGGGUAAGGUCUGCGUACACAAUACCUUCCCCAGACCCCAAUAAGUGGUAUUAUACUGGGUUGUUGUUGGAAGAAUGGUCAGUAGACUAUUUCAGAAACAUUCCACCCUUCUAAACUGCUCGACUUCUCCUAACAAACAUCCCUUUGAUCAUUUCAACAGGAAUGCCAGUUCUAACAGCUUGACAAUAAGCACCAAGUAUAGUAUAGUCCCACAAGGUGGGGUUUGGGAAGGGUAAUAUGUACACAGACCUUACCCCUACCCGAAAGGGCAGAGAGGUUAUUUUCAGUUGACCCUCGGCUCAGGAAGGAAAGGAAAAACAAAAGCAUAAACAAAAACAAAAGGGCAUUAGUGACUCCAGCAGAAAUCACAUAAAUAAUUAACUAAACAUACUUAUCUAAACAAAAUUGUCUAAACAUGAAAGCAUAAAUAGGGUGACAUGCAAUAAUAUCGAACAGUAAGUACCAUAAGGGCACAAUUCAACACAAAAAUCCACUAUGGAGAGCCCUACCAAACCCCACGGUAAAAACUUACCCGCACCGGGUGUUUACACCAAACCAAUAGAUAUAUGACAUGUGUCUUGCAUAUGAACUUCAAUCAUUUAAUCAUGGUAAAUUACAUGCAUUAUCAUCUAAUUAAACCAAUUAACCAUAGUGAGUUAAUAUAGUUUGGUGUAAACACCUGGUGUGGGAAAGUAUUUACCCAGCCCCAGAGAAGAAGUAUGAAGAAAUUCUACAAGCCCCUAUCCUACAACCUUGAUACUAGACCUCCAGAUUUUCCUAUCAAGGAUCAUAUCCUCGGAAAUCCGCAAUCUAGCCAUGUGCUGCCUAAUCACCUCUCUCCAAUACCUCUUGGGCCUCCCUCUGCACCGCCAACCGCUCACAACUCCUCACUGAUGCAUCAGGGCUUCUCCUUCGCACAUGCCCGAACCACUUGAGCCUCGAGUUCCAGGAAGAGAGAACACGAAUAAACAUUAAGCACAUCAUGGCAUUUUACGACAAGAGAGAAAGAAUCCAUCCAGCGAAAGAAGGGGAAAAGAAAAUCCAGAAAUGCAACUCAAUGUUGUAUAAAGCAUAUGACAAACAGCCCAAUGGCUCCACAGAGAUUUUAAUCAACAUGAUAAUAAUGUAGCAAGGACAGUAAACCUCAUAAUAGAGGAGAAUAAACAGUCGCAUUGCUAUGUCAGAUCCAAGACUGUCACACUACCGCAAUAAGACAGUUUCUUCUUCUUCUGUUAUGUUGAUUAAAUAACAAGAGUAGAUGUUGAAUCAUGUAAACC
rnacentral:lncRNA from 1 species